rnacentral:snRNA from 1 species
ACAUAUGAGGCUGACUAGGCGGGUGUCCCCUUCCUCCCUCACCACUCCUUGUACGUCCGUCCCGAAACCGCAUGCUCCAUCUAAGAGGACAACCUUCCCCCAUGGAGGACAGGACUGUUCUUCCAUCAAGGUGUAAGAGUGGCUGCGCUCCCUUGCUGGAACCUCCACACAAGCUCUACUCAUCCUGAUUUAAAAGGUAGUUAUCUGCCUCUGAAUUUGAACUGUACAUACUGGCUACCAUUAUUC